GCCAGACUGAGUUUAUUUGAUGGCAGCCACUUUGAGUAGACCCUGUGGGUGACGGCUGUCUGUUGCACUGUGACCUCACAGCAGAGAGGAAUGGGGUGUGGUGAGUGGUUCCAUGCGUAGGAGACAGUUGGGUCUGUGGUUGUGAGGGGAAGAGGCUGGAAGCCAGGGAACCGUUAUUUGACUUCCGGGCUUGGAAGUCAGCGUGACUUAUGACCUGGAGACUUUGGGCUGCCCCAGCUGUGUCCAGCUGUGUGCGAGGAGCUCAAAGGCUUUCAGAGGCCUGUUUGUUUGUGGUGUCACUGACCACUCUGGCUGUAGCCCCUGGAGCAGCUGAGGGACAGGAGGGGCCGGCAGGAGCUUGACCCUCUGUCUCUCUCUCAAAGCAGAGGGAGCUGGGGCUGGAGCGGGAAGCAGCAGUUUGCUGGACCUGAUGAGGAACUCAAAAGUCAUGACAGGGAGGAGAAGACUGUACUGAGAGCAGGAGUGUUUGUGUAAAGAGUUGCCUCUAUUUCCUGGAAUUCCCCAAGGCAUUGUGAUUUUUGCAAAGGUCACUCAAGUUCUUAUUUGCAGUCCCUGGAACAAGACCCGCCUCCUCUCCUCCAGGCCUGUGAACAUUCUCAUCCCCUCCUCCUCUACAUGAGACCUCCAUGGUUUGCCCCCUGCAGCCAGGUUCGUCAGCCCUCUCUACAUGUGGCCACACUGCUCCAUGCUUGCCCCAUGCUCACACUCCUCACUGUCCACUGGCCAUAUUAAAGGUGCACUAGCUUCUCCCAGAGGCUGCCAACUGAGGUCAGAGACGACUAACUGUGACCUCAGGAAUGAGGGCUCCAAUGUCAGAGGCAGCCAGCAUCCGAGGGGCCAGAGUGUAGCCGUCAACACAGAUCGUGAGGUCCCAAACACCCUCGACCUCGGCUCACAGAGAUCUUUCUUCCUUGUCCCGAAGUGGAAGGGCUGGGCUGCUGUGGGCAUGGCUGACAAAGCUUCUCCAUAACGCGUUAGCAAUUUCUGCUCACAUUCAGCAAACGUCCUUGAUGGGUGUGGACAUCGCAUUAGCAGGAGAGACCUGCCCAGGGCCAGUGAUCGAAUUCUAAGCGAGAUAACAUCGUGGGCAGGGCCCUAACACGGUGCCGAUCCAGUGACCCUGGAUAAAGGUCAGUUCUGUCCCGCUUCCUCCCGGUUCUUUCUUCUCUGUCUUUUCCCUGGCUCUUAGAAAAUCACGUAGUCUACUUAGAAGGGCCUCUGGAGAUCUUCAGGCCCUCUUCCCUGCAUUUAUCCAGGGCCCAUCCUGCCCACCCCUCCAGAGCACCCCAUCCUCCCCCAAACUGCUAAGGACGCAUCUCGCGCUGUGCCUCAUGCCAGUGGAUACAAAGUAGGUAGGGCCUCCCAUCUUCCUCAGGUCUAACCCAACACUUCUUGCUGCGGUUUAGGGAUGAGGCCAUCUUCUCUGUUUUGCCCUUCAAGAGGAUGCAAAAGGCUCUUUUUUUCUUCCUCCUUCCUUUUUCCACUCUCUGUGUUUAUUUUUUCGUGAGUGUCCUAAUUUAUCCUUCCCCAGGGCUUCAGAAGUUACCCCCACCCUUUCUCUCCCUCCUCCCAUCUCUGUCUUUGUCUUUAGAUGGGCAACUACAGAUGUUUCCCAUACACAGCCCGCCCCAACUGUCCGCCGGACCCAGUUGUCUCUGUCACACUGGGCGCCUACUUCUGGUGGUGAGCCCCGCUCCUGCCUCAUGCAGCCUGAGUGGUUGGGGCUAGCGAAACGCUGCAGCUGAAAUGGUCUGCAGGCUGGAUCCUGCGGGCUUUCCCGCCCAGCUGUCUGCAUGGGGAGAAGUACGAUUUGAGGCUGCCCUCCUGGCUCCUCUGACAAAAUGCCAGAAAUCCCUGGGCCUCUGCCCAGUCCACAGAACGGGUCCCACUGGUUCUCCUUGCCCCGGACCUCUGCCCCUGGGCUGUACUGGCCCCUUUGCCCAAAAAUUUCCAGGGCAGGCCGAGGCAAUCUGCCUGGAAAACAAACCCUGUGCUGAGCCGCGGCAGGGUGGGCCAAGGAGUUUUCGUUUGAUCCAAAAGCUCCCAGCUUGGACCAAACCUCAUAAAUCAGGAGAGGAUUUUGGGUUGUUAUUUUAAGAGCAGCCUGUCUUCUCUUGUGCUGGCUGCCUCCCUGCUCCUCCUCAGCCUCCCUCUCUCCCCUCUCCCUCUGAGAGUUGGGGAAAGGUCAGGCACGGAGAGCAGGCAGGCAGGGCCGGGAGGAAAGUGAUGGGCUCAUUUAGCAGGAGCCAUCUCCCUGCCUGGCUGUGUCCCCUGACCUUCGUUCUGACUAGAAGACCUCACUGAUGUCCCAGCCCUGCCAGUCUGGGGAAGUUACGGCCUUGUGUGUAGGGAGCAUCUUCCAACAUUGCCAGCACCCUCAUUUCCAUGAAUCCAUUUCGCCCCAGCAGCCCUGGAUGGGGUGUAGUGGGGAGAGAGGCCCCAGGGGUCCCAGAGUCAGCUGUGCCCAUGCUGGACUCUCUCCCAGUGCGCUGGCUCCCCAGGCCUCUGGAGUUGGCCCCGCCUAUGGGACUACCUGCUUAGAGAGCACGCCUUCUGUGGAUCCAGAGAAGGACUCCCAGAAGCUUCCACAUCCUGGUCUCUUAUGGAGGUGCCUGAGAGUACAGACUCUGGUUUAAAAUCUGGCUCGACCCCUUAAUGACCGUGGAGCCUUGGGCAAGUUACUCAGCUUUUCUGUGCCUUAGUUUCCUCACCUGUAAAACAGUGGUAACGAUGGGGCUGUUAGGAGAACGAAUUGAUUACCCUUUAGAAAGCGCUGAGAGCAGUGCCUGGUCCACAGUCAGUGCCGUGUGAGUGUUGGCUAAACAAAGCAGUCCCGGCCCUGAAAUCUAGGACCACACGGCUCCCAACCUUCUCUCAGGCAUGGAUGGCCCAUGGCUUCCUGGCCCUGCUCCUCCGGGCCGUUCACCUGUUCAACAAGUAUUGACUGAACACUUAUCAUGUGCCUCUGUGUUCAGCCUUGGGUUUGCUGUGUGAACAAAAUAAAAUGGUCCCUCUGCUCAUGGAAUUUACAGUAAAUGCACAAAUAAAUACAUAAUUUCAGUGUGUAUGUAGUGCAGUGUGUGGUCCACUGUAGAGGAAGAAAAGACUGGGAUAUCAUGCCAGAGAAUAACAGGGCAAAUCCACUCAGGGGCUGGAGUCUAUGAGCACCUACACGAGGAAAUGGCAUUCAGCCCCAGACCUGAAGGAUGAGGAGUAGCAGCAAUAGUGGUUGGAGGGGGAAGAGCAUUCUGACAGAGGGAACAGCCUGUGCGAGAGCCUUGGGGCAAGAAGGGGCGGAGCAUGUAGCAAAAACGGAAGAAAGCUGAGUGGCUGGACCCAGUGAGUGGAGCUGGGAGAGAGGAGGCUGCAGAGUGAGGGCGGACCAGGGUUAGGAGCUGGGGUCUCAUUCCACGUAAAGUGUGACACAGGGAAGGGCUCUAAGUGGCACAGCGGCACGGUCCCAUGUUGGGUGUCAGAGCCCCCUGUGGCUGUGGUGUGGACAGCGGCGUGGUGGUGAGGAAGUAGAGAAGAGGGUAGUUAGAAGGGUCUGCAGUGAUCAAGGGAGAGGUGCUGGAACCUUAGAUUGGAGAAGUGCCAUGGAUGGAGAGACCUGCGUCCAGCUGAGGUGUGUUUUACAGGAAGUGCCGGGCUUAGAAAUGGCACGUGUGGGAAAGCUGCUAGGAUUUCGGGUUGUUAAGCUCGCUGUGACUCGAGGGGCCAGUGACAGGUGGAUCUGGGGGGAUGGAUUUGAGGGUGGUAUCAGCGAUGACUGCCCCCGGCUGUGGCUGGAGCCCCUGGGUAGAAGAAGAUGGAGAAUGUGAUGUUCCCAAACGCUCCUUUCUUCAAUGUGCCUAAACACCCUGUUUUGAAUGUGCUCAUUUUACCCCUACUGAAGACUUGGGGUGAUGGUCAUAGAAAAAAAUGGAAGACUUCUGAAAAUAGGUCCUUUCUAGCGCAGAGUGGAGAAUGACUGUUGCUUCCUUGUCCUAAGUCCCACACUUCCGUCUUGGAGCGCUCAGGGUCUGGAUCCAGAUUAAUCCAGGCUCCACCACUGACUAGCUAUGAGUUCUUGAGUAAAUUUCCUAAAUCUCUCUUGUCUCCAUUUCCUCUUCUGCAAAAUGGGGAUAAUAGAGUGGUUCCUACCCCAAGGUUGUUUUGAGGACUGUGCUGAGCACACCGUAAACAUUACCAUUCAUACAUCCGAAGGGCGAACGUUCAUUUCCGCCAGCAGCUUGUGUCACAGUAAGAUUAUCAUCCCCUAAAAUCCUAAAAGCUUUCCUAUACAAGCCAGUUUGAAGCCCUGCUUCCAUCAUUCCAUGUUCCUGCCCUUGGAUUUUUAAACUCAAGUUCAGGGCCGGACAUUUAUCCCUGUUAAAUCUCAUUUUGUUAGACGCAGUCGGUGGCGCCAGCCUGUCGGUUUCCUUUUCCUUUGAUGAGGGGAAGGUCCUGUGAUGCGUGCUCGGUUCAUUUCUGUGGCUCCCAAGGCAUCCACGGAGAGUGCCUUUGCCCCCUCACCCCCCGGGGAGCGGCCUGGUCUUGGGAGGUGGAGCAGGGCCGGGUUGCGGCUGAGCUGGAGCUGGGGAUACAGCUUAACGCUGCCUCACCUGAGGCGGAUCCGGCACAGCCAUCCUGGCUCCCUGCCCUCAAGUCCAGCCCUGGCUUUGGGUUUUGAGACGUAGGGUCAGAGGGACUUGUUCAAUGUCACUUAGUGGGCUGGCCAGUGACACAGGGCUAGGGCUCGGGCCACAGUUCAGAUCUCACUCCAAAGGCCCCACUAUGUUAGGUUCUCACCUCUUUCCAAACCACUCGAUCACAUUCCCUGAUCUCGGCCAGAGAAGAACGCGGGCCGGAGGGACAGAGAGGUGCAGCUGCAUAAAGCCGUCUUUCUUCUCUUGCUUCCACAGGGGCCCCUGGGUCUACCAGCCUCCCUCCCACAUACUGUUUUCUCUGCUGGGCAGAGCAGCCUCUUCCACACUGCCUGGGGGGUUUGUGCUCUGCCCUACUCUUCUGCUCCUCUGACCCUGUCCAAAGUCCCUGUCCUCACCUUGGAGGUGGUCUCCUCACAGCAGACGGGGAUGGCUUUGAUGUUCAUGCUCGACUGCGUGCAAUACAGAGCCUCCCUCCUGUGGGACUCUCUCUGCCUUUACUUCCUGAGGGCAGGUGGGUCUCCAUCAGGCUGAGAGCUCCCCGGACAGAGCCUGUGUAUCCUGGGAGUUCUCAUCCUUCUCCCCCUGCUCUCCAAGCACCUACUGGGCUCUGUUCACGGAGGGAGCUGAACUUGAAGGCGACCCUGGCACUUAGCAAAGGCCUGCAAAGAGAGCCAAACCUGGAAGCCUGGUGAAGCAAUGGCGCAUUCAUUCCACGGUGCCCCCGGACUCUGGAGAGCGGGGAGUGGAGGGGCACAUUCAGACGCCAGGCGAGUGCGGCUGUCCUCCCGGCCAGGCACAACAACAUGCUUCGGUUCAGCUGGAAGACUUCACUAGCCUCCAGAACUGAUGGCGCCUUGGUCCAGUGCCUGCCACCGUCUCCUCCUCCCCCGUUAAUGCACUCGUUGUUCACUAUGUGUGCUGCGAGGUGUUUUUCCAGGUGGUGGGUUCCAGGGGGAAUUGAAUUUCCCUAACAAGCAGGCUUGCAAAUAACUAGGCAGGGCCGGGAGCGAGAGGAAGGCAGCUCCUAUUAGAUUCUAACAGUGGCAACCCACAGCCCAACCCUCCCGGGAGCAACCUGCCCAGACUAGAGCAUGGGGAAGAAAUUCUAGAAGCAUCUUCUUUCCCAAGUUUCCCAUUCCUCAAAUAGAUCUUGGUUAGUUUUCUCUGCCAAUUUGCUGGUUUGGCUUGGAGAGCAUGGGCGGGGCAGGAGAAGGGCUGAAACAGAGGAUAGAGAAGAAGAAAAAGAUAAACCCUUUAUAUUUGUGUAAUGCACUGGCCUCUCUCCUCCAGGAUAUCCCAGGACUGUAGCACCUCUGAGGAUUGCUUUGUGAUGCACACAGUCCUCAUCCUCUGUCCAGGCCUGGACUGUGGCAGGGCAGCGAGGCCCUGAGGGGGGACUGUCCUGUCACGCCUCCUCAGGAGCAGGAUUAGGAGAGCAGAUGUAGCCUGUUCUCGGGAGGCUCCUCCCCCUCUGCCCUGCACGCUGCCGCCUGAACGGAAGGGCAGGCUCAGAGGCUUCCUCAGAGCCCUCCUCCCACUACAGAUGCGUGGAGCAUAAGAGGUCACCUGCUCCAGUCUCCAGCCUCCAGGCGGGAAAAUUCCACAGCUUCCAGAGCGGACAGAAGACUCAGGGCUGCUCUUCAACCAAGACGGGGCAAACGUCAGAUAUAAGAGGGGCCUGGGGCUAGGACCUAUUGAGGCUGCUCUGUGGUUUGGUGGCACGCUGCCUCGUGUCAUCAGGGGUUGUCAGCUGCUGCUCUGGAGUCUAGGGUGUGUCUCCUUGAAGGUGCUUCCCCUAAUGCAGGACCAGAGGCUACAAGUUCUCCAUGUUUCUCUCUCCACUAAUCUGUGAGCUCCUUCAGGACAGUGCACGCCCUGUGAUAUGAAAUAUGAAUAUGAAUUUAUUUCUAUCACCUAACAUGGUACUGGCACAAAAAAGAUGCUCAAUAAAUAUUGGUGGGAGGAUGGAAGAAGGAGGGAGAGAGGCCUUAAAUAAAGUUAUCAGGCAAAUGAGUUGCUAACCAGCAUGAAGCCCUGCCCUUCCUAGCCCAGCUGACCUUCCUGGGGCUCUGGUCUUCAAAGGCUUCUCCCUUCAUCCUUCAGGCCCUGACUCAGAUCUUCCCUCCUCUCUCUGACCUUUCGCACUUCCAAGCAGAGCUGACCGUUCAGGGCUCCAGCAGCAGAUUGGACCCUCUGUGACAGCAUUUAUCAGCUGGGUUGGGAGCCUCUGCCCUUCCCUCUUCACCAGGCGAUGGAGCUGCCUGAGGGAGAUGACCAGGCUUCCUCCUCUGACUGGCUGAAAGCGUCUCCAGGUCUCUCAGGUCAGAAGGCCGCAGAGCAGGCUCAUGGAGAUGAAGGCUUAGUUUGCCACAUCACAGAAGCCUUGCGAGUGUUUCUGCCAUGUUCUCCUCUGCAUGGAGGAUGCCCUGCCCGUGGAACAGGGACAGUCAUGAAGAAUGGCCAGAGGACCCUGGACUGAAUGAUUCACCAGAAGCAGGAGUGCCUUCUGGAAGUCUGCAGAAAACUUGAGAUGGGCAUUAGACUUUGCAAAAUCCAGGCAGCGACGAUGGUUCAAGGCAUAUUUCCCUUGAUCUUCAGAAGAGUGUGACUACCUCUGGUCUCGUCUGUGGUGUCUCAGUGGCAGUAUGUGUGUAAGAAGGGGGAGGUUUCCGUGUCUGUAUAGUUGCUGGCUGCAUUUGCACCCAUACUUAAAGGUGUGGGUGUUCAUGUGCUUCUUCUGCUUUUGUGUAGGGAUAUUAUUACACAUUGUAUCUUUGUUGGAGAUGCUGCUAAAUGUUCAUGUGAUCAUACUUUUCUUCCUCACUGAGUCUUCAUAGAGGGAAACUGAGUCCCUUCCCACACCUUGAGGAGUAGAGGCUUUCCCAGGAUCUGAGCCCUGCCAAGUAACAUGCGGUCCCUGCUCCCAUCUUUCCUUCUCGUGCCCCUUCCCCAUUUCUCUGACUCCUUCCUCCAACACUAAGAAGAGCCAAGGCCCUUAACCAAGAGCAGGAAAAUAAAAAUCAGGUCACCAGAUGUGCUGCAUUCCAUCCUCUCCUUCCCUACCCCUCCUCACCGCAAUAAAUUCCGAGCGUAUAUACAGCAAGUGCGUGGCAUCCCCUCAAACCUGGCUGUGUCCCUGCCUGGUGACAGACCCUACUGAGGCAGAGACUGUGGGUACCCAUACAAGCCUACCACAUGACCCACCCAUGUCUCCAGCUCCGUGACCCAUUAAUUUGCUCUGUCUAGACCAUCCAAGCAGACCCCAGAAUGAGUUUUUUUCACCCUGAAUGAGGGGUGAUACAUUUGUGCCCUCUGUACUGCCAGGGCUCCUUUUCCCUGUGUGGUCACUGUCUGUCUGGGUGCAGGAGGAGAAUGAGGUCUCCUGGGCAAGAUCACUGUCUGGAUACUGGCGGUGGGGGAGACCGCAGCCCUGCUUUGGCUUGUGCACAGGGCUCUCUCAAGCUGGCCCCCACCUGGAGCCCACAGUGAGUGUCUGGGUCUCUGGAAUGAACAG
ensembl:lncRNA